CCUACGGGUGGCAGCAGUGGGGAAUAUUGCACAAUGGGGGAAACCCUGAUGCAGCAACGCCGCGUGAAGGACGACGGUUUUCGGAUUGUAAACUUCUGUUCUUAGUGCAGAAUAAUGACGGUAGCUAAGGAGCAAGCCACGGCUUACUACGUGCCAGCAGCCGAGGUAAUACGUAGGUGGCAAGCGUUGUCCGGAAUUACUGGGUGUAAGGGGAGCGCAGGCGGGAAGCCAAUUCAGCUGUGAAAACGACGGGUUUAACUUGUAGACUGCAGUUGAAACUGGUUUUCUGGAGUGAAGUAGAGGUUGGCGGAAUUCUGAGUGUAGCGGUGAAAUGCGUAGAUAUUCGGAGGAACACCAGUGGCGAAGGCGGCUAACUGGGCUUUAACUGACGCUGAGGCUCGAAAGUGUGGGGAGCAAACAGGAUUAGAUACCCCGGUAGUC
rnacentral:rRNA from 1 species